GUAAAAAUACAUUUUAAAUUUGACAUAACCAUCGUGUUAUUGGACAUUCACUUUACAUGAUACGACGUACUCUGCUUUAUGCAAAACCAUAGGCCUAUUCUGUAUAUAUCUGUGUGUAUACGUCUGAAAAGUUCAAAACUAUUGAAAUGGUUUUGUUUUCUAAGGGUGGUAUGUGAUACGAUUCUCGCAGACAAAUUAGAGGAGACAGGGGAAACGAGGGAGGAGAAAGUCCAAGCACCUUAGACAGAUGGUGUCAUGUAUCAUAUAGAGAGAUUGAAUUUGAAAGUGCAUUUGCCAUUACAACAUUGGGGAUGGACAACAUAGACAUUCAUGAUUGUGAAAGCUAUAAAUACAAAGACUGGAACCAUGUACUGUGCUGUUAAAGAAAAUAGACUAUCUAAGUAGACGUCCAGUGCAUUAUUUCAUUUAAUUCAAAAGUCAACAUUGUGUAAUUUUUUUCAUGGAUGACAUUGAUUAUUUGAUCUGAAUUUGCAAAAAUUGGAUUGAGUGGGAAUAAGUGCUGUGAUUUCAAAUGAAAGCCAUGAUAGACACAUUGCUUUUUCAUCCAGAUGUAAGUAAAAUCAUAAAUGCAUGUUUUCAAUUCAUAUAUUGAAAAUUCAGUUUAUUGGAAAUGACUGACUUGUGGGUAAUUAUUAUUAUUAUUUUUUUAUAAUUAAAAAACUUAUAUUAUUGGGAACAGUAUAAAUCUAUGGCCAAUUCUCUAAAUUUGAUGUGUUUUUUAUGCAUAUUAAAUCAAUAUAAAUUGA